UACGUAGGGUGCAAGCGUUAAUCGGAAUUACUGGGCGUAAAGCGUGCGCAGGCGGUGAUGUAAGACAGAUGUGAAAUCCCCGGGCUCAACCUGGGAACUGCAUUUGUGACUGCAUCGCUGGAGUGCGGCAGAGGGGGAUGGAAUUCCGCGUGUAGCAGUGAAAUGCGUAGAUAUCGGGAGGAACACCAGUGGCGAAGGCGGUUGCCUGGAGCUUUGCUGACGCUGAUGCGCGAAAGCGUGGGGAGCAAACAGG
rnacentral:rRNA from 1 species